UGGGGAAUAUUGCACAAUGGGGGAAACCCCGAUGCAGCGACGCCGCGUGGAGGAAGAAGGUCUUCGGAUUGUAAACUCCUGUUGUUGGGGAAAAGAAGGAUGGUACCCAACAAGGAAGUGACGGCUAACUACGUGCCAGCAGCCGCGGUAAAACGUAGGUCACAAGCGUUGUCCGGGAAUUACUGGGUGUAAAGGGAGCGCAGGCGGGUAUGCAAGUUGGAAGUGAAAUACAUGGGCUCAACCCAUGAACUGCUUUCAAAACUGUGUAUCUUGAGUAGUGCAGAGGUAGGCGGAAUUCCCGGUGUAGCGGUGGAAUGCGUAGAUAUCGGGAGACACCAGUGGCGAAGGCGGCCUACUGGGCACCAACUGACGCUGAGGCUCGAAAGUGUGGGUAGCAAACAGGAUUAGAUACCCG
rnacentral:rRNA from 1 species